UUUCAUCGUUUUCUUUGCCCACUAUCUUCUUCCUUCUCCCUUUGUAAUUAUCGCUUCACCACCGCCGCAAGCAAGGGAAGAAAUCUUGUCUCAAAUCUGUGGUCAAGUCUCCAUAUUUUGGCUAGAGAUUGGACUGUGCACAGAGUACGGAGAGAAGUUGCGGUAGUAAGCCGGGCAGAGCUUACGGAAGGCUUUAUCGCUUGGAAAGUUAGUAUUUUCUAAGCUUAUGAUAUUGUAUAUCACGGGGGGUAUCUGGGUAGUUUCAGUUCGCUUGAUUUGAUCCCAUGUCAUUUCUAUUGCACUUUGAUGUUAUAUAUAUGUUGGCUUCUACCGGAUCUUUAUAUGUUUUAAAUUGAAAACUUGUCAGUUUCGUGUAUAACGGGUCUGGUCUCGGGCUAUACAGACUAGUUUCUGAAUUCAUUUUGUUGCCUAGAUGUUCUUGGCUUUUGGCUUUACGGACUACAUUCUUUACCAUUGUUCUUUUUGGCAUUUGUUUAAUCUAAGAUAGGAUCUGUACAGUGAAUUUCUAAGUGUAAUUAAUAGCUACUUAUAUUCAUUUUCCUGUGAAAUAA